UUCUGUCUUUGGUCUCUCUUUAUCUCAUAAGGUUCGAGAUGAUUGAUGCUGCAAGGGGCAAGUUACGUGUGAAGGUCAGCUACCUAAUGGUUGUCCUGACAGUACUGGGAUGCCUAGCAAUGGUCAUUCAAGGGAAGCAGGCUCUCAAAAGACAUGAAAGCCUUGUAAGCCAUAACUUGGAGAAGAAAGCACACUGAGAGAUGAGUAUGCUUAGAGUCCAUCUGCCAAAUCCUAAUUUAGAAGAAACCAGUGAAAGGAAAACACUGCUGACCAUGUCAUCUUUAGCCACAAGGGGAAGAUCUUUGUAUGUUCUCCUGGUCUGUUGUUCUAAUCCUGUGUUAUUUUGUUUUGUAGAGAACAAAUAAAUGGUUUUCUUAAUACUACUACUAA